rnacentral:rRNA from 1 species
UGGGGAAUAUUGCACAAUGGGGGAAAGACCCUGAUGCAGCGACGCCGCGUGAGUGAAGAAGUAUUUCGGUAUGUAAAGCUCUAUCAGCAGGGAAGAAAAUGACGGUACCUGACUAAGAAGCCCGCUACAUACGUGCCAGCAGCCGCGGUAAUACGUAGGGGCGAAGCGUUAUCCGGAUUUACUGGGUGUAAAGGGAGCGUAGACGGCUGUGCAAGUCUGAUGUGAAAAGGCAGGGGCUCAACUCCUGGACUGCAUUGGAAACUGUGUAGCUUGAGUGCCGGAGAGGUAAGCGGAAUUCUAGUGUAGCGGUGAAAUGCGUAGAUAUUAGGAGGAACACCAGUGGCGAAGGCGGCUUACUGGACGGUAAACUGACGUUGAGGCUCGAAAAGCGUGGGGAGCAAAACAGGAUUAGAUACC